UGGGGAAUUUUGGACAAUGGACGCAAGUCUGAUCCAGCCAUGCCGCGUGCGGGAAGAAGGCCUUCGGGUUGUAAACCGCUUUUGUCAGGGAAGAAACGAGUUUCUCUAAUACAGAGACUUAAUGACGGUACCUGAAGAAUAAGCACCGGCUAACUACGUGCCAGCAGCCGCGGUAAUACGUAGGGUGCGAGCGUUAAUCGGAAUUACUGGGCGUAAAGCGUGCGCAGGCGGUUAUGUAAGACAGAUGUGAAAUCCCCGGGCUCAACCUGGGAACUGCAUUUGUGACUGAAUGGCUAGAGUACGGUAGAGGGGGAUGGAAUUCCGCGUGUAGCAGUGAAAUGCGUAGAUAUGUGGAGGAACACCGAUGGCGAAGGCAGCCCCCUGGGUCAAGAUUGACGCUCAUGCACGAAAGCGUGGGGAGCAAACA
rnacentral:rRNA from 1 species